GGGGACCUUCGGGCCUCAUGCCAUCAGAUGUGCCCAGAUGGGAUUAGCUAGUAGGUGGGGUAACGGCUCACCUAGGCGACGAUCCCUAGCUGGUCUGAGAGGAUGACCAGCCACACUGGAACUGAGACACGGUCCAGACUCCUACGGGAGGCAGCAGUGGGGAAUAUUGCACAAUGGGCGCAAGCCUGAUGCAGCCAUGCCGCGUGUGUGAAGAAGGCCUUCGGGUUGUAAAGCACUUUCAGCGGGGAGGAAGGCGUUAAGGUUAAUAACCUUGGCGAUUGACGUUACCCGCAGAAGAAGCACCGGCUAACUCCGUGCCAGCAGCCGCGGUA
rnacentral:rRNA from 1 species